CCUACGGGUGGCAGCAGUGGGGAAUAUUGGGCAAUGGACGCAAGUCUGACCCAGCAACGCCGCGUGAGUGAAGAAGUAUUUCGGUAUGUAAAGCUCUAUCAGCAGGGAAGAAAAUGACGGUACCUGACUAAGAAGCCCCGGCUAACUACGUGCCAGCAGCCGCGGUAAUACGGAAGGUCCGGGCGUUAUCCGGAUUUAUUGGGUUUAAAGGGAGCGUAGGCCGGCUUUUAAGUCAGCUGUGAAAGUCCGCGGCUCAACCGUGGAAUUGCAGUUGAAACUGGAGGCCUUGAGUGCACACAGGGAUGCCGGAAUUCAUGGUGUAGCGGUGAAAUGCUUAGAUAUCAUGAAGAACUCCGAUCGCGAAGGCAAGUGUCCGGGGUGCAACUGACGCUGAGGCUCGAAAGUGCGGGUAUCAAACAGGAUUAGAUACCCGAGUAGUC
rnacentral:rRNA from 1 species